CGCCUACGGGGGGCAGCAGUGAGGAAUAUUGGUCAAUGGGCGGAAGCCUGAACCAGCCAAGUCGCGUGAGGGAAGACGGCCCUACGGGUUGUAAACCUCUUUUGUCGGGGAGCAAAGCGAACCACGUGUGGUUCAUUGAGAGUACCCGAAGAAAAAGCAUCGGCUAACUCCGUGCCAGCAGCCGCGGUAAUACGGAGGAUGCGAGCGUUAUCCGGAUUUAUUGGGUUUAAAGGGUGCGCAGGCGGAGGUGCAAGUCAACGGUCAAAUUGCGGGGCUCAACCCCGUACUGCCGUUGAAACUGCAUC
rnacentral:rRNA from 1 species